rnacentral:rRNA from 1 species
AUUGAACGCUGACGGCAGGCUUAACACAUGCAAGUCGAGCGGGGGAAGGUAGCUUGCUACUGGACCUAGCGGCGGACGGGUGAGUAAUGCUUAGGAAUCUGCCUAUUAGUGGGGGACAACAUCUCGAAAGGGAUGCUAAUACCGCAUACGUCCUACGGGAGAAAGCAGGGGAUCUUCGGACCUUGCGCUAAUAGAUGAGCCUAAGUCGGAUUAGCUAGUUGGUGGGGUAAAGGCCUACCAAGGCGACGAUCUGUAGCGGGUCUGAGAGGAUGAUCCGCCACACUGGGGCUGAGACACAGCCCAGACUCCUACGGGAGGCAGCAGUGGGGAAUAUUGGACAAUGGGGGGAACCCUGAUCCAGCCAUGCCGCGUGUGUGAAGAAGGCCUUAUGGUUGUAAAGCACUUUAAGCGAGGAGGAGGCUACUUUAGUUAAUACCUAGAGAUAGUGGACGUUACUCGCAGAAUAAGCACCGGCUAACUCUGUGUCAGCCGCCGCCGUAA